GUUUGCACUGAGGAGGAAGAACUCGCAGUUCCACAUUGAUGCUCCACAAAGUCCUGCGAAUGCAUCAGAUGCGCACAGGCCCUCGCACUGCGUGUGCAGUGGCUCAUGAGCGCAAAUGCAGCGCUGCAGAUGCACCAGUACAGGAGUCUGUCGGAGCCUCAACGCACACUGCGAGGGAGCAGGGAGAGCAGCGAGGACUAUGCCUGGACAAGACGAUAAGGAUGAGGAUGGCGGCGGUGCGAAUGCUUCCAGGAAGGAAUGUUGGAGAAACGUCUAAUACACACAUUGUCAAAAAUUAAAAUGUUUGCUGGC